GCGUCGUAGUCCGGAUUGGAGUCUGCAACUCGACUCCAUGAAGUCGGAAUCGCUAGUAAUCGUGAAUCAGAAUGUCACGGUGAAUACGUUCCCGGGCCUUGUACACACCGCCCGUCACACCAUGGGAGUGGGCUGCAAAAGAAGUGGGUAGUUUAACCUUUCGRGGAGGACGCUCACCACUUUGUGGUUCAUGACUGGGGUGAAGUCGUAACAAGGUAGCCCUAGGGGAACCUGGGGCUGGAUCACCUCCUUAUACGAAGAUACC
rnacentral:rRNA from 1 species